UACGGAGGGUGCAAGCGUUAUCCGGAUUCACUGGGUUUAAAGGGUGCGUAGGCGGGUCAGCAAGUCCGGGGUGAAAUCUUUCGGCUCAACCGGAAAAUAGCCUUGGAUACUGCUGGUCUCGAGGGAGGUAGGGGCCUGUGGAACUUCCGGUGGAGCGGUGAAAUGCGUUGAUAUCGGAAGGAACGCCGGUGGCGAAAGCGACGGGCUGGACCUCUUCUGACGCUGAGGCGCGAAAGCUAGGGGAGCAAACGGG
rnacentral:rRNA from 1 species